rnacentral:lncRNA from 1 species
AGAAACUUAAGGACAAGCUAUGACAAGGGUGACGAAGUGUCCACUGCAGAGUGAGGAAAUGAAGUGCUUGGGAGCUCAUUAUAUGCCUCUAGCUGUCAAUACGAUGAGUAACAUCAAAUUGCAGAUUAACAAAAUAAAGCAUUUCGCCUGCCUUCCUGGUUGGAGAGACUUCAUCGGUCCUUCACAUCAGUGAUGCCUCCUGGUGUUAUCUAAAAGACGUGUUUGUCAAGUCCAACAUAUAUGGAAUAUCUCGGUCUCAUCCUAUUGACAGAUGAGCUCUUGCUAAAUUUUCUGACAAAAUUGAGCGAUGGUCUUGAUAAAUGUGCAUCGUCUACAUAACAGUGGAGCUAAUAAUAAUAUACAGUCCUACUGCGGAAAAUUAUCAAUAUCCACUUCUUUUUGUUUAAUUCCUCGGCACAAAAUUAGUAUUCAAAGUGUUCAUGGAUCUCCAGGCAACAUCAACUAUACUGCGAGUAUCAUGCUUAAAUCAUGUAUCCACCAAUCCCUAUAUAGACGCGGUAUCAACUUUCUUACAGAUUUGGAUAUAGACUUCUAGAUAUUUUACUUAGUAUCUGCAUUACGAUGUGAUAAGUUUUGAUAAAUUAUAUAAUCAGAGGAAGAUUUGGCACAAAAAGGAUAUAGCUUCAGCUUCAGGUAGGUUGGGGCAUCAAACACCUUGGAGACAUGCCGCUCCCUUCUGACUUUCCUAAACAUCAACCUAAUCGUGGCUGCACGAGCCAGAACAUGCCCACCUUCAGGUUUCAUUGGGUCUGAUGACACACCUCCGCCUGGAUCAGCUAUGACUGAAACAAAUAAAUCAAAGACAGAGUCAUAAAAAAAAAAAAAAAAUUAUUUUCCUAUGUCAUGGACUGCAGCUACUGUAUGCUUCACCAGUUUACACCAAAUAGCUGGUUCUUGAGAUUUACAAGAAUUAGUUUGAGCUUAGUGCAGUCCCCAAAUUGCUAUUUGUCAGUGUGCAACCAUCAAAGGGCUAAAUUGAAUAAAAACUUUGAAUGGAUGCAGGACUACGUGGGAGAAAUGAGAUGUGAUGCAGUACCUUAAUUGGUCAUGUAAACUGCCACGUUAGAUUCCUCAGCUAUCUUAAUAAAACGUGAGAGCAUUUGUGCCAAUUUUUUCUGCAAUUCGGAAUUCAUUAGUCUCAAACCAGCUGCAAAAUAACAACUUGCAUGAUUUGAUGGUUUCAGGAUCAACCUGGCGCUCUGCAAGUUCUCUUCCAGUAAAAUCCACUCGGAAGAGAGCAAUCACUGAAUCCACAAUCUGAAAAAGGCACUCACCAUAGGUCAACCAUCCAGACCUCAGAAAAUCUGUAGGGUUUGAUUCUUGAGCAGUGUCUCACCAGUAAUUUGAAUGGUUCUUCAGACAUUUUGGCAGCCAAACCAAGAAGCAAGUUGUACUGAUGCUCAGAAGUAGAGCACGGGCAUAAAUGAUCUUCAAAUUCAUGGAAAGACUAGAUUACAGCAGUACACUAGCCAAAAAAGUAAGAGUCGCCACCAGUAUAGAAAGCACUGCUUACAUUAUCUAGGACUCCACCAGGAUCCAUGCCAAAUCUCUCAGCAAUUGGCACGAUUCAAUCAGGGCGACUGCAGGGGUACUAAGUUAAGAAAUUGCACAUGUGCACACAAGGAGAGACGACAUUUAUGAAACACAAGCAGCUUUGUCGAGGUCAAGAAAAAUACAGACAGAUUAUCAUAGGACACAGAGUCUGUUGUGUGUCGAUAUAAGCGACCUUGCCAUUUCCUCCUCUCAUGUGAGUUGGCAGCCGAAAAUUUUAUACGAACAUGGAAUCCACAAGCCAUUAAUAAAGAACGAUUGAAAACAGGGGUAUAUACUGUUGUAGGAUUUGCAAAUAAAGUAGAGUAUCUUCAAGCAUCACAUUCAACUAAUGAUCAACCCAACUCAUAGUCUGACAAUAAUUAAGGCUUUUACUCGGUUAUGACACAGUACAAACUCUUCUGGCCUUUUCCUGCUUGGUUUGAACCACUGUAUAUGCGUUCCAAUACACUGACUGCAGAUUACAGAAAAUGAGAUUGCCAGACUUCCAGAAUCACCUAAUAUACAUGUUCUGAUGCCAUGAUCGCCCACAUCUUUAUUCUUCGUAGAAAUUCAAUCAUUAUGUUACUAUAUGGCAUUGUUUAUCUGAACAAAAAAUGCAACAGAAGUUAACGACAGAAACCUAAUAUGCAAUUCAGCCCAACCUAAGUAGUAACACACAGGGUAUGUGCAAGCUGUGUUUUCCCAGACCUGAAGUGACGUUAGCAGCGUUUUCUGAGAGAGCCAACUAAUAAAAGCAACUUAAAGUUCAUCAAAGGUAAUGUCUUGGGACUCUGAUUUUCACCCAGAUUCGCCAAAUGCUUCCAUAAUUACCAGAGUUUCAAUACCGCCUGUUUAACAUUGCCAAACUGGUGAAAUUUGCUUUUGUUGAAAUGCAUCAAUAAGACAGUCUGCAAAAGAAAGUCAAGUACCGCCCAAAAGCUCAUUGAGGGCUUGGCUUCCUGUUGUGAUGCAAACAACCGACUUUCUCUGGAAAUAAAGACAUUAAAAGUACAUUGAGCGACACACAUGCUAAUUUGCAGGCUUUAUUUCAAGCGUCAAUAACUCAUUGUGGUGCUCCAAAAAUCCUUAUAGAAGUUCAAAUUGAUUGGAGCCACCAUCUCAGGUCAAGAAGAAUUUAAGCUCUAACCACUGUUUUUUCAGCUGCUUCGUAAAUUUUGUCAACUUUUGCCUAAGACAGUCCUUUUAUUCCAGUUUAGUGCUACCAAAUCACCCAAAAAAAAGCAAAUCACCUGGCCAUAUAAGAAUACAUUCCUCAACUUAAUUCUCAGGACUAAAGAUCAGAUACACCUUCUUUGUAUGCAUCAUCAAGCCAUUGCGAGUGUAGAUUCCUGCAUCCUGGAGCUUUUUCACAUCUCCAGCAUUUAUUCUUGAGAAAUAACUGCAAACAAAAUAAAGGAAGAAGUUCAGAGAAAGAAAAUGAGAACAACUCACCAUCGUGUUAAACUCUAUGUUUUCUGGUGAAUGUAGAACGUCAAGUGUUCCAAUAGUGACUAUUGACAAAUUUAGCUUAGGAGAUUCGUUAUUAAUCCAUCUUUGCCAUAAAUAUGUGGAAAAUAGAUGUACCGAUGGCACGAUUACUAUGUGUCGUAACAUAACAAAGGCUCUUGUAUGAUUUAGAAGACAUGUCAAAAAUUAGACAUAUUGUAUUCAAGUGGUAGUGGAAAUUACUCCUCAUCAAUUAAGAUCGAGAUACCCUUCGAUCUUAGUCUAUGAUUUUCUCUUCAAUUUAUUCUUCACUUUGCUGGAUUUCAGCGAACCAGAAUCGUCCUCCAACAAAGACUCGAGCUUAACCAUCGCGUUAAACUCUAUGUUUUCUGGUGAAUGUAGAGUGUCGGGACAAAAGCAUUUCCUGGAUCAUUACUGACAAUCUAGCGUUCCAACAGUGAUUAUUGAUGAAUUUAUUAAUCCAGCUAUGUCACGAAUACACGGAAAAUAAGACAUCCAACGGUGCAAUUCCAAGGUCACGUAACAUGACGAAGUCAGGAAUUGCUCUUGCAUGAUCAGAAGACAAAAGCUAAAAACUAAAAACUGUCGCACGCGCAGGAAAUCAUGGCGAGUUCGAGAGAAAGGUCAAGAUGUACAUCACGAUAAUCACAGCCGUAGCUUCAUCGAACCAUUUGCAUCUUAAAUUUUAACUUCAGAACGGGGAUAAAAAAAAAUCACGAUAAUCAUCUGAGAAUCAAAGGACGCACCGAAACUCGUUACGAAAGCGAUCAGAUGAACACAGAGCGGUUGCCUACACUCUGUUUUGCCGUAACUUACGUUCGUUUGUCGAUCGUUUCGAGCAGGUCUUCUGCUUCGUCGUCGACGUCCUCUCUUUCCACGAUCUUCUGCUCUUCGGCUCUGAACAUCAACGAGCGAACGCGAGACGAAACUCAGAAUCAUCGUGGCCGGCGAUCGCGCUGCGGAAAAGGACAUGAACUGAAAUCAAGGGGAGAUCGCGAAACUCAGUUGAGAGACGAAAGCAUCUUCGACGGCGAUGGAGUUGCAGGAGAAGAGACUUUCGAAUUUUUUCUGCGGAUUUUGGAAACGAUCGGAAAAUGGAGGGAAUCUAAUAUGUAGAGAGAGAGAGAGGCGGGAAGCAGGGAAGAAUGGCUCUCGGCUUUUUUUUUUUUUUUUAAAGAAAAAAGAGGUUUGACUGUUAUUCUGAGUUAGAUCCUUAUAAAUUGAGGUUUAAUAGAUCUGUUUAUACACUCCUAAAGAGGGAGAGAAAAAUAUUGGUUUGAUUUUUUUUUUAUUUCGCAUUAAAUAACUCAGUUUUUUUUUUAUUUAGCUUGGUUUUAUAUUCAUCUUAAUUCCAGUCGACUUAUAAUUUUCUUAAAUUAGACCGAAUUAAGUUCUUCUUAGAAAAAGGAAAAAAUUGAUCUAUAUUGUGGUCAAUACUUGAUUAUGUUCAAACUCCAUGCUUAUUGCUCGUAGAAUCAUGAAAAUAUCAACGAACAAUUGAGUGAUUGGGAAUGGCUUGAUAAGAACUUUAUCGUGACCGAUUUGAUUGUACUACACUUAACUCAACACACAUCCUAAAAUUUGUAACUUGGUGAUUCAGUAAAAGGUGACAAACAUGAAGCAUAUGUUUUCUUUUACCGAACACGGAGCAUAUUUAAUUUUAUUUAAUAUCAAACCCUUUCGACUCCAAUUUAUAAAAAAUAGGCAAAUCAAACUUAAAAUAUAGAAUCAUUAGUAAUCUCUAACAUAUUUUUCCUCAUAUUUUUCCUAAAAAAUUUGUUCUUUUAUGUAAGUUUUUGAACGUAUAUAUAAUGAGAGAAGCCAUUUAGCUGUCUAUGAAUUACGAGAUGUAAUGUUUGGUUUUGAUAUGAAUUGAUUUUUUUACUAAAUUUUAUUAUGAUUUUAAGUCGGAUUUUUUAUGUGCAAUCUCAAACGCCUCAAUUUUAUAAUGAAAAAAAAAAACACAAGAAUACCGCCAUUUAUAAGACCCUCGAUCUCUUUUAAUUAUUUAAAUCAAAAUAUCAUCUCUCCCACGACUCUCUACCGCCCGUUCCCUCUUCUUUGCGCCUCGCUGCUUCUUCUUCUUCUUCUUCUUCCUCUUCGUUCUCCGCACAAACCCCGCCUGAAAUCCCAGCCAGCUUCUGUCGAGUGAUCCAAGAGAGGUGGUAAUCGCGCAUUUACGGCGACCUUCUCGAAUAUUUUUGUCUUGGGAUCUUGUUGUUCCUCGUUCCAUUGCACGUAAGCCGUUUGAUGUUUGUCCUGAGUGAGAGGCAUUUGCUUUUCUUGGGCUUGUUUCUUGAAUUUGGAGCGACGCAUUUCCAUAUCGAGAUGACCCGUCUUCAAAUCAUUGGUAAAACCGUAGCUUCCUCGAAUGAAUGGAGCUCGGCAAGAGAGUUUGGUUGCUUUGUCACCUCGCUAGUGCCUUUGCCUACCCUGAGAAGAAACUGGAGUUUUAGCGAGAUUCUACUUAACUGGUCACAGCGUAGAUUCAUGAUCACCAGCAAGAGAGUGCAAGAUAGGAGCAAGGACAAGAGGAUCCGUGAUCUCGAAAUUGCCACUGAGAAGCAUAAAGUGGUGUCAAAGGUGUAGGUUUUGACAGAAAUGUCGAAGAAGGAACCCGAGACGAUAGUCCCUCUGAGGUCGCUGGAUCUAUACCUAAGCCAAACAGUAUAGUGGAUUUUAUUCGGAAGUCACCAAAACUGUUUGAGUUGUGUAAGAAUCAGAAGGGGGUAUUGUGGUUUGGAAUUGACUAAAGAAGCUGAAGACUUGUUAGAGGAAGGGGAGAGAUUGAUUGGGGGACACUCUGGCACCGCCGUUGAAUACAUGACUAGGAUGUUGAUGAUGUCGGUCGAUAAAUGGCUUCCUGUGGAUAAAAUUGCUCAUUUCAGGAGAGAUUUUGGUUUGCCAGCUGAUUUUAGGAGCAAGUGGGUACACGAGUAUCCACAGAACUUCAAAGUCAUUAAAUCUCCAGAUGAAGUUGAUAACCUCAAGCUCAUAGAGUGGAAUCCUGCUUGGGCUAUCACAAAGUUGGAGAAACCCAUGUUGGGGGAUAUCAGAAUUUGCCUUUCAUACUCCAGGAUUGCUUUCCCUAUUUUUCCCCUUGUAGUUUCCUGCCAGUUACAAGAAGGUGUAUAGAUAUGGAGGGAAGAUUGAGAUCUUUCAGAAAAGGUCUUACUUAUCUCCUUAUGCCGACGCAUGUGGCCUUCAAGCUGGAUUGAAUGAGAGAGUCAUUGCAGAAACACAUGAGUUACUUAGCUUCACAAUGGAAAAACGGUUGGUAACCGAUCAGCUCGCACACUUUCAACAAGAAUUUGUGAUGCCUCAGAAGCUGACGAGACUCCUGUUGAAGCAUUAUGGCGUUUUCUAUGUCUCUAAGAGGGGGAAGGGUUUAGUGUGUUCUUCACAGCAGCUUAUGAAGGUGCGGAGCUGAUUCAGAAAUGUCCGCUGGUUAUUUGGAAGGAAAAGGUCCUAAGCCUUAUUGGUUAUACGGGGAGGGAGAAAAAGAUAGAAACUUUUAUGGACAUAUCAGAUAUGGAAGACAAUGAUUUUCUAGGGGUAGCUCUGAGGAUAGGAGUAUUGCUAUGCAACUUAACCAAAUAGAAGCCAUCAGUGAAUUGGAGGAUAUUGCAGAUAAAGACAGCUCCUUCAUGGAUAUACAUCAAAUUGACAAUAAAUACAAGCCUCAUGAUUCAUUUUAAGGUCAUACGUUCUUAUUCGAGUUGUCAAGAUAAUUUGCUUUCCAGUCUUCUUCUUCACAAGUUCAAAGUUUUGAGUUUUUGUACAGAUUUUAUUAGACAAGCUCUGCUUACAUCUAUAAACCAGGUUAACCAAUAGCGAACUGAUCCAUCUCAUUCCUCAUUAGUCCAAAACAUUGUCACUUGAACUCCUGAAAUCUAUGAUUCAGAAAGAUUGUGUGGAUAAUGCUUUUGGCAACUCUCGGCUGACCUUGGUGCCAGCAAGGACAUCCGAAGCAGCCUAAGCACGGUGACCCGUUCAUUCUCAGUUAUUGGUCCGACUGACUUCAUGAGUGCUGCAAUACUAAUCUGCUAUUCUGGAUUUGAAUCUUGAUUGUUGGGUCAAAGAGAUGAUCGGCUAGUAGGUAUCAGGGAGAACAUAGCCUAUCUUCCCCUAUGAUGAUCGACAUUCUCUCUCUUGUUGUCACAAAUUAGAUGCCGAGCUCACCCUGCAGUGAUGCAUUGUUCAUCGCUGUGCAUGGAUAUUCAGGUCCACAAUAUCUAAGACUGCCUUUUGCAUCAUACUUUCAUUUGCUUUCUAUGCGAUUGCCUCUUCCAUAGCUCUUGCAAUUUCUGUUCAAAAUCUCCACAAAACUAUGGGCAAACUUGUGUUACUGGGUUCUACUGGAGAACUUCCCUUUGUUGGGUUUUAGAACCCAACAUCAUAUGGUAAGUAGUUUAUAUAAUUCUUUGUUUAUGUUGGGCUGUACUUAUCGUUGAUUCAUUUCAUUAGCUUACUGUUUUGUUUGGAAGAAAGAAAUAGGAGAGCCUUUGAAAAUAGGAAGACUGGUUUUUUAGUUUGAAUGAUAGAUGGCGUUUCACAGCUUUUGGUGGUGUGGAAAUGACAUUACUAAUGUGCAUUCUUUCUUAUACCUCAUAACAUGAAUUGCGUGCAUAAUUUGUUAUGCGGGCUAGCAUCUGCUUGACGCCAUUGUGCUAUAAAUUUCUUUUGCUUAUCAAGAGAAAAUUCUUAACAAACUCACUGAAGAUGAUGUUGAGUAAUUUGCUUCCAAAUGUUGCGGCUAGAUUUCUUCUCGUGCGCAUAAAAACCAUGAUGUCCAAAACUAUAUGUGACAAAUCAAACUGCUACUGCAUAGCUAAAUAUAUUGCACUACAUCAUUUUUCUGGUUUUUGCUUUAUAUCAAAAUCCAAUGGUUAAUAGAUUUCAUUUCAUUUUAUUGCGGUGAUUAGAUCUCUUCUUAAGCCUGACAAGGCCCUACGACCUCUCACUAGCAUGCCAUGCUUGACUAAGUUCCUAAGAGCAUAUAAGGUUCCUAAGAGCGGUAGAUGUUGACUUUUUUCCCUCUUGAUUAAGAUUUAUUAGCAUCUAAAAUUGAAGUCUGUGCGAUCCUAAAGCAAAGACUUACCAUUAAAUACGAAAAUUUUAAGGGAAAGGUCAAGCAUCAGUCUUAGCUCCAACUAGAGCAAUGACAGGAGUAAUGUACCAUGGAGGUUGAGCAUCAACCUCAUUUGGAGCACUAUGAAGGUUUUCCAGAUCUCAUAUGAUCAAGGAGAGAGAGGAGCAUCAAUGUUUAUUGGUUAUAAUCACUUGCUAUCAUCUUCUGUUGCGUGGCAAAAAGUAUUGCGUGCAUUAUGACUCGAUUCAUAUAAGAUAGUCAUAUCUACUUGUUUUAAGAAGGGUUGGAGCUGUGCGCCAAUGUUUUCAAACUUGGGCUGGUCAGAGUAGCAGUUAGGUUGCCAGUUUGUGGUCCAAGUGAUUGGACUAGGCGUGAACUGAUGAUUGUGUCGUGAGCAAAUGAUUAUAGACAUGUAAUGUUGUUGAUCGCCCGUGAACACAUAAAUCGAUCGACCUUGGUGUAAAGUGAAGUGCCGGUGGUCCGUAAGAGUUUAGUGCUUGAGUCCCUCCAUGUGCAACAACAGCCAAAAGCCCAAUUCUAUACCCGUGACUCUAAAAUUGGGUGGAUCCCAUUUUGAAAUACGUUUGUUUCGCUGGUUUAGCGAGUGAACUGGUGUUCAAACUAGUUCGAUCUGAUUUUGGCCAAAUUCCCUGCACAUGCGUUGUUAGUUUUGGUGAGGAGAUCAAAGGGAAAGCAAUGGAAUUGGCUAAAAAAAGGGUCAAGAGCAAUACUUUAUGAUCGAAUGAUUGCAGAAAAUCUAAAAGGAGAUCAACAUCGAGAACUUUAUAGCUACAACAAUCUUUUUGCACCGGCUUGAAAUUAACAAAUUAUUUAAUAUUCACUUUUGCAUGAAAGAAUGAAAAAUCUUUAAAAAAGAGAUCAUCAAAGUGAGGCCAAGCAAUGAAUUGAAAGGAUGAAUUUGCAAAAUAAAUUUCGCAUAAACAAAAGUGCCUUUGAGAUUUGAAUUUAGACCAAUCAACGGAUGAUAUAUUCUUAGAUAAUAACGCACAAGUAUCUUAAUUAUUACCAUUUUCGUAAUAAAGUACCUAAAAUUAUUUUUUUUCCAUUCAGUCAAUUACCUUAAUUUUUCGAACGUACCUCAAGGCCUCUCUAAACUGCAAAAUAAAAAUGUUAAUAUCAUACUAAGACCAUUAAAUAGUCUUCAAUUGUCCAUGUUGGCCACAUCAGCCGAGAUAUAUUAGAUGCUACACUCAUCUAAGUCAACGCACUUUUUUCUUUUCUCAUCACUCAAUCUGAGGGUGAGAAGCCAUGUCACUUAUUAUGUUUAACUUUUGUUGAGUGAGCAAGUCACGUCAGCAAAAUCAUAUUAACAUGGCAAAGUUAUCUAACCGAUGCCUUAGAUUGAACCGCAUUUGAAAAAUUGAGGUUCUUGAUUGAAAAGAAAAAAGUUCGAGUACACAAUUGUAAACUGAACAAGAGCUUACGUACUUACCAUGUCAUUAUUCUUAACUCUUAAACUGAUCUAAGAAUAAUAUCUCAAGGAAAUGCUAUCCAUGAAGGUGACAUUAAGCAAUGCUGCUAAUGGCAACGACAUGGUAGUGACCGGGGGACGGUGGUGCGCUCUCUUGUUCCAUUCUUGCUUUUAUUUUAUUUUCAAGCUAAUACCAUGAAAAAUUCUAAACCAAUAAACAUAUGACAAAUUUAUCUUGAACUAAUUUUUUGAUCACUAGAAACCCCAAACUGGUACAUCUUUGAGAAAUUUAUCCCAAACUAGUACACUUAUGAUAAAUUUACCCUUUAAUAGUUUCGUUUAAACUUUACUAUCAAAUUGUUGAGUUGGAUGACAUUUAACAGUAAACUGAUGUACUAAUUUGAAAUUUUACUCUCCAUUUAUUACAAUUGUAUCAAUUUUGUGAUUUUUUGUGGUUUUUUAUAGUAUUAAUCCAAUUUAAGGAAUAGUAUAUUUGUCACAAAUGUACUGAUUUUGAGUUUUUGACAAUAAAAAAAAUUAAUUUGUGGUAAAUUUGUCACAGAUGUACCAAUCUGGGAUUUUCUAUGGUUAUUUGGAGUAAACUUAUCAUAUAUGUACUAGUUUUAGAUUUUUCAUGGUAAAAAAAUUAGUCUUGGGUAAAUUUAUCACUGGUAUAUCAAUUUUAGGUUUUUCGUGGUAUUAACCAUUUAUUUCUUUCCUUCUUGAAGUUUUUGCUAUUUUUGCUAUUUUCUUUCUUUUUUUUUCUUUUAUUGAACUUGAAUUUGAAAAGAACCAUGGAAAUCUAGAAAUAAUUCUAAUAAACAAGUACAGGAGAAAUUACUCAAUUGAAAAAUCACAGUAGGAGUAAGCAUGAAAGAGUUGGACGAAAAUUACAUGAUAGUCAAUUUUUAAGUGUGGCGCGUAACGUGUAAGGAAAUUGUACAAGUAAUGAAAAAACAAAGGCAUUCACGUAGGAACGAAAGAGGAUAAAUGGCAGAAGCGAAGCAACAAAAUUAAUUUUUCGUCCUGCUAAGUUUUUCUUUUUUUCAAUUGCUCUCUUUUGCUUCUGUUCCACUUUGCGGACAAAAAGCACGUGAUGUCCAGUAAAGUUAAAGUCAUGGUUUAUUUACCUGAACAGAGCACUUGUGGACAGAAACCUUCCUUGAAAGUCUUGGUCUUUGUUUAAACUUUUCAGUAGGUGAAAAUCUUGGUCCCCCUAGAUUUUAAAGUUGUAUCUCUCCGUUAGCUCGUUAUGACUUUGCUUCAACAAAACCCUCGAUUGACUUUACGAGGAUUGAUUCACCCAUGAACAUUGAAAGAUCUUUUCGGGUUCCUUCUAGCUUCCUUCUUGUACUAAUUUAUAGUAUUAUUAAUUUUAAACAAGACAUGUAAUGUGUGGAAAGUCUACUCAAAGUGGAAAAAGAGACAUUGACGUUGGGAUGGGAGAGGACUACAUAUAUGUACAUAUAUGUUCGAUCAAAAGCUACUAAAUAAUUACGUAAUUGUGAUAGAUUUUUUUUUUCAAAUUAUAUAUACUGGUCUAGUCCACGUGGAUGGAUGGGUGGUUCCAUGCCAAGAACUGGGAACCGGACUGGUACUCAUCAAUUCCACUAAAUUGGAAUUGGGAAUUGGACCAGCUCUCAUGAGAAUUGUCGGUUCCAGCUCUGGUCUGGUCCGAUUCCGAGUGGACCGGGCGGUUCCAAUUCUUUUGCACAUCCCUAGAGAGGAGGGAUGUGAAAAGUGAAGCAAUGAACUUAAUUUGCACCCCGGAAAGUCUUGGUCUUCUAGGAAUUGAUCAAAGUUUCUUCCCCUUUAGAUCUUUUUCAUUUUUGCUUCACUUUCUAGAUAAAAAGAAAAAGUACAUGAUAUUCAGUGAAGUCUUGGUCUUCUAAUGAAAAGUCCUUUAUGAGUAUACUAUCACGACCAGCAAUUUGAGAUAGACCAAAGAGAUCAUGUUUUGAUGCACAGUGUGUCCUUAAGCGAGAUAAAUCAACUAUUCUCCUUUUUUUCUUCAGAUCAAGACUUUUGGCUGUCAUUUGAAAGAGAGAACAUUUUCUUCUGGCCAUCCAAAAGAGAGGAUAGAGGUGACAUUUCUUCACAUGACCAAGGGCAUGCUUAUCAUCAUCAAAAUUUAUAUCUUACAAAUGUUUUUUUUUUCUUUUUGGAGUAUAGGUUUUUACGUGGCAAUUAUAGUGCUAAAACAUUAGUAAAAUGGGCAGUAACGAUCUACUGGAGGGUGUGAAAGUAAUUAUUGGUACCGUGAAUUGUUUGAUAGAAGAAUCGUGGUCCUUUAAACUGAAAAAGUUAGCCCAAAGCAACUUGCUUGAUGGAUUAUUUGGUGAUUUGUGAUUCAUUUACAGUUUUUAGAGUAAAAUUAAAAAACUUGCUUCAUGGAUUUGUUGGUGUACCCAACUCUUUUUCUUGUUUAGCCCAAGGCACAUGUUUCUACUCUCCUAUCAAACAGUUAAAGUUAGUUUUGUUUGAUGACUUGUAGAUGUAUAAUAGAAAGUAAGAUGCCAUUGUUAGGUGGAUCAUCAAUAUUUAUUUAAGUUAGUACAAGUUGCACAAAGAUGCUUAUUUGUAAGUCGAAUUAAUUAUGGUCAACUCCAUUCAUUGCUAGACAAGUAAAUGUGUUAGACAUCGCCAACUAACAAUGUACAAUGUAUUAGAUAUACUCUAGGCGUCACACUUAUGAAUAGGAAUAUUGUGCAAAGGACCAUGAUUCUCCUAUCAAGGAGUUCUCCAUCAUCAAUUACUACCUUAGUGCCCUUCAGUAGUUCAUUGUUGCCUAUCUUGCUGCGAAUCUUAAGCACUGUAACUAUCACGUAAAAGCCUACAUUGAUCACAUAUUCACUAAUACCGCAUGAAACAAAGACAUCGAAAUUAUAAGGUUACUGAGAAUGUACAGACGAAAAAAAAUGCCUUGAUCUUGGUCUUUGUUUAAUGUUUUUGGUAGGUGAAUGUCUUGCUCUUCCUGAACUAAAUAGUUUUUUUUUUUUGUCUCCAUUAGCUCCUUUCUGAUUUACAUAAGUGAGAACUAAGCAAGAAUAUAGGAAAAACUCAAUAAGUUGUGAAUAACUAUGACUGUUGCUCAUGAGUUUCUAAAUUGAAAGUUUCAAUUUAAAAAAUACAUGCACACGGAUUAUAAGCCGAUGGGUAGCGUGGUUACUCUUCAAGUAUAUAUAUAUAACUCGUCUUUUUUUUCGGUCGUGAAUAACUCCUCCUUAAUGAGCCUUCUUAAUUAUUUACUUUCCCCUUCCUAAAAGUUAUUAAUUUAUAUAUAAAAAAAAGAUGAUCUAAUCUAAAAAUCUAUUUAGAUAUGAACCCAAUUAACGAGGUCAAUUAUUUAUGAAAUAUGAAAUUAUAUUAGAUUACUAAUGUUCACAGACGAAGACGUUGCGCACAUAUUUCCAGAUCAUUUGUAAUUAAAAAUUAGGAAUUAGAAUAAAAUGAACUAUUUCUAUAAUUGAUUGUUUCCAAAUAUUACUUAAACCUUAGAACUUGGCAUACUCGAACCAAAUAUAAUUAACCACAACAAAAUAAUAUCAUCAAACGCAUUAGUAGUAAAUAUAACUUUAUAACUAUCAUUUAUAAUCACCUAGUAGUAAUACAUGACAAAUAAAAUCAGAGAUUAAUUAUUGUCUUAUAAAAAAAAUAUAUAAUUUGAAUGUGCCUUAUGUCAAGCAUCAAGGAUCUGGCUAAAUAAGGAAAGCAAAAGACAUUCAAGAGGGGGCGCUUAUUGAAUUUUACAUGCGAGUGGUUGAAGCAAAAACUCCAUAAAAGGAGCCCCAUCAAUUUCAUUCUAUAUCUUUCGAUCAAAAAAAAAAUCAUUCUAUAUCUAUGGCUUUUAGACCUAAGCGGGUCCUUAAAAUGCUCAUUGGGAAGAAACAGGCGGCCCUGGGGUGAGAGACCCUGCAACGUCACCCCCUAUUCCCACCCCAUCGGGAAGAAAAAACUAGAGGUUAGAAUUACAGGGUAUCACGGUGGUGAAUGUAGACACCACGUCAGGGAUUUUAUCCCUAACUACCGUUGAGUAAACUAGUAUAGUAGCCACCCACACUUGGAGUGAGUGAGAGGAGGUGAAAUACCUGCUACGACCUAGCUACCUUUAAUGGUGAAGUCUACACCCGACUACCAGUAAUUGUACCCCAUUAAUUUCAUUCUAUAUCUUCCGACCCAAAAAAAAAAUCAUUAUAUCUCUAUGACUUCCAAAAAAAAAUCAAAUUGACCUAAAUAAAACCAAAUAAAUGGUGCAUGAAAUUUCUUACCCAUACGCUGGCAAUUAAGUAUCUACAAUUUUUUUUCCCGUUCAUUCAAUUACCUAGACAUUUCAAAUGUGGUCAACAGGAGACUUCCAUUGAAAACACAAACAAAAAAAAUCGAUAUGACACCAACGCUAUUUUUUUUUUGUCAGUCCUACUCUAUUCUUACUCUACACUCACUCUCAGACUUUUGCCCUGCCUCUUGCAGAACGUGGGAGUCGAAACCCACUUCUGAAACUUACGCGUCCCCACCCCAUCCCCCCAUGAGAAAGUGGGGAUCUGAACCCCUCACCUCCCCCUUCCAUGUUGGAAGGGUGGCCACUGGGACGAAUCCCAGUGGUUGACACCAACGCUAUUAAGUAGCCAAUAACUAUUUACCUUGGCAUUAGAUAUGAUCCUCAUGGUACCAAUUUUGUCUCUUAAGGGUCAAACCAGCCGUUUCAGAUUAUAUCAAUAGGUCUCUCAAAGAGUUGGAACAAAUUAUCUGCAAAAAAUAUUAUUUAGGUAAAUUAGUUGUUAUUAGUAAAGAAAACAUAGUAAGGUUUUAAAUUAUGUGUGCCCGUACAGUUACAUGUGAUGAUAAUAUUAUUAAUAUAAUGUACAACCGAACGAAAACCAAGUACUAAGAAAAAGUUUAUUUCAAUCAAAUUUUGAUAAUCCACUAAAAAAUUUCUAGUGUAAAGCUUGAAUUUUUAUGAUCGAAUAAUCAAUAGAAAAUUUAAGGGAGAUCGACGUGGAGAAACUCUGUAGUCUUCCAAUGUGCUUGACAUUUAGCCACUAGAAAAUUUUGGCAUGUGAAAUUAACAAAAUUAUCUCAUACUUUCUUUCACAUGAAAGAAUGAAUAAUCUCAUAAAAGAAAAUUAUUAAAUGGGGACCAAGCAAUGAAUGGAGAGGAUGAGUUUGUAGAACAUAUAUUGCAUAAACAAAAGUUUGUUUGAGAUUUGAACCUAGACCGAUGAUUGUAUAAUAAGCUCUUUGGGACAAUGACAUCGUAAGUACUUAUAUUAUUACCCAUUUUACAAUCAAGUAUCUAAAGUUUUUUCCUUUAAUCAAUCAUCUUAAUUUUUCAUGUGGGUCAACAUGAGGGCUUCGUUAAUUUUGCGGUGGGAAAAGGCUGACACAAUGCUAAAGUUAUUAAAUGUCUAUACUAAAGUCCAAUAUAGCUUCUUGAAAUGUUGUCAUGUUAGCAGAGACAUUAGAUGCUAAGUUGGUCUUAGCAAUCACAAACUCUCUCUCUCUCUCUCCACAUCACCCAAUCAGUAGGGUAAGCAAAUCGUGUAAAUAAAAUCAUUACGACGUAGCAAUAUUUUAAUGAACGCCACAAAUUGAGACAAAUUUGAAAAAAGAAAAAGUGAUAGAGAUUAAUCCAGACAUAAAGCAGGGAAAUUCUGCUAGUGAUGGGAAAAAGAGAUGUUCUCAUGGGGAUGCAAGGGGAGGGAUGUGAAAAGCGAAGCAACAAACUUCAAUUUGUGUCCAGUAAAGUCUUUUGGUCUUCCCGAAAUUUAUUGAAGUUUCUUUCCCAUUAACUCUUUUUAUCUUUUGCUUCACUUUCCACACAAAUAAGCACAUGGUAUCCAUGAAGUCUUUGGAGAAAUUCUCUAAUAUUACCAAACAAGCACUUGUGGACAAAGAGUACCUUAUUUUGAUUCCUCUGACCACUGAUGUGCGCGUGAAAAGCACUCAAAAUUAAAUGGCCGACAGAGUGCUAUAGCCUUGUCCCAAGAAAGCAUCAUUACUACUUCAAUAUUUUUGACAUAUGUAUACGACUUUAUGAAAAAUUAUCUAAAAAUCCAUAAAUUUAUUAUAUAAUGAAUAAUUCAGUUUUGAACAUUGAUAUAAUACCAUGUCAAUUGAGAUAUAUUAGAUGCUAUCAUCGUCUAAGGUAACGCAAUUUCUCUCUCCUCAUCACCCAAUCCGUAUGAUAAAGAGCCACAUCAACUAUUAUGUUUACCUUUUUACUGAGUAAGCAAGUUACAUAAGCAAAAUUACAUAACGUGGCAAGUUAUUUAACCAAUGCAUCAAAUUGAGCCAAAUUUGAAAAUUUGAGGUUCUUGAUUUAAAAAAAAUAAAAUUCGUGCACUCGAUUGUAAACUGAAUAGAAGCUCAAGUACUUAUGAUAUCACUAUUCUUAACUCUUAAACUGCAUUAAGAGUAACAUCAUUCUUGCUUUUUCCCCCUUUCUUGAGUUCUUGUUAUUUUUUCUAUAUAUAUAUUUUCUUUGCUUUUUUUUUUAUUGAACAUAAAUUUGAAAAGAGAUAUGAAAAUUUAAACAUAAUUCUAUUAGACAAGUACAAGAGAUAUUACUGAAUAAAAAAUCACAGUACGAUUAAGCAUGAAAAAAAAAGUUGGACAAAAAUUAAAGUAAGAGUCAAUUUUAAGUGUGGCAUCUAACGCAGGGAAAUUCUACUAGUAAUGGAAAAAUAAAGGCAUUCACAUAGGGAUGGAAGAGGAGGAAUGUGAAAAGUGAAGUAAUAAAGCCAAUUUGCAUCUUGCAAAGUCUAUCUGUUUUCAAUUGCUCUCUUUCACUUCUUCUUCACUUUCCAGACAAAAAGUACAUUAUGUCGAGUAAAGUCUUGGUCAACCUGAUGAAAAAUCCUUUAUGAGUAUACUGUCACGACAAGCAAUUUGAGUUAGACCGAAGAGGCCACGUUUUGAUGCACAUUGUGUCCUUGAGUUAGACAGAUCAAUUGUUCUCCUUUUUCUCCACAGCAAGACUAUUAGUCAUUGUUUGAAAGAGAGGACCUUUUCUUGUGGCCAUCCAAAACAUAGGACAAGAGGUGAUAUUUCUUCACAUAACCAACCUUAGAGGGCAUGCAUAUCUUCAUGAAAAAUUUAUAACUUACAAAUAUUUUGUUAGUUUUUUCUUUUCUUUUUUUAAGUAUGGGCUUUUAUGAGGCAGCUAUAAUGCUAAAGAUUUACAGCAAAAUGGGCGACAAUGAUCUACUUGAGGGUGUAAAAGUAGUUGGUAAUGAUCGUGAAUCGCUUGAUAGGAGAAUCAUGGUCCUUUGAACAUAAGAAGUUAGCCCAAAGCAACUUGCUUGAUGGAUUAGUUGGUGAUUUGUGAAUAGUUUACUAUUUCCAAAGUAAAAUUAAGCAACUUGCUUCAUGGAUAUGUUGGUGUACCCGACUCUUUGUCUUGUUUAGCCCAAAGCACGUGUUUCUAUUCUCCUUAUCGAAUGGUCAAUGUUAGUUGUAUUUGAUGACUUGUAGAUGUAUUGUAGAAAGUAAGAUGCUAUUGUUAGGUGGAUCGUCAACAUUUAUUUCAGUUGGUGCAAGUUGCACAAAGAUGCUUAUUUGUCAAUCGUAUUAAUUAUGGCCAUCUUCACUCAUCACUAGACAAUGGUCCCCAACUAGCAAUGUACAAUGUACUAAAUAUACUUUAGGCAUCACAUUAUGACCAUGAAAAUCGUGUAAAGGAACACGAUUCUCCUAUCAAGAGAAGUUCUUGAUCGUCAACUACUACACGUUGCUUGACUUACUACAAAUAUUUAACAUUGUAACUGCCACAUAAAAGCCUACGUUGAUCACACAUUCACCAAUAAGGCGUUAAACAAAGACAUUGAAAUUAUAAGGUUACUAAGAAUGUACAAAUGCCCAAAUUUUUUUAAAAAAAGAAAAAGAAAAAGGCCUUGGUCUUCCUUAACGAAAUAGUUCAAUCUCUCCAUUAGGUCACUUCUACUUCGAACAAGAUACCACUAAGCAAAAAGACAGAAAAAAUUCAGUAAGUUCUAGAUAAUUUCUAUUGUUUCUCAUGAGUUCCUAAAUUGAAAAUUCAAUUUAAAAAAUACGUACACACUGAUUAUAAGCCAAUGCAUAGCAUGGGUACUUACAAGAGAGUGUGUGUAUAUACAUAAUGUUGGUUAGUCCUCCUUAAUGAGCCCUACUUUCCCUGUCCUAAAAUUUAUUAAUUAAAAAAAAAAACAGGUGAUUCAGUCUAAGAUCUAUUUAGAUAUGAACUCAUUUAAUGAGGUCAAUUAGUUAUGAAAUAUAUUAUAUUAGAUUAGUAAUGUUCACACGCGUGCCACGCACAGACAAAGACAUUGCGCACAUAUUUUCAAAUUACAUGUAAUUAAAAAUUAGGAAUCAGAAUAAAAUGACUAUUUCUGUUGUUGAUUGUUUCCAAAUAUUACUUAAACCUUAAAACUUGGCAUACUUGCGCCAAAUAUAAUGACCCACAAGAAAAUAACAUCGUCAAAUGCACUGAUCUAAUUUGGUCCGGAGAGGCCUCAACUACAAGCAAUGAUGAUUUUAAUUGACUAUUACAAGUUUUUUUUAAAAACAAACAAACAAACAAAUAAAUACAAGACUUACAACAGAGCUAGUGAAAAGCACCAAAAUUAUUUUCUUGAGACCUGUAUAGUCUCUAAAGAAAAUGGCCAAGCAAAAGGGGCAAGGGCAAUGCUUUAUGAUCGAAUUAUUGCAAAAAAUCUAAAGGAAAUCAACAUUGAGAACUAUAUAGUCUCUGAAUGGGCUUGACAUAUAACCACUGCAAUCUUUUUGACAUAUUAGGCGACUAGGACCGUCUAAGUCCUGUGCAAUGCCUAACCUUAUUCUUAUGUUAUCUCCAGUGGCAAGCAAAUCAUAUCAACAAAAUCAUAUGACAUGAUAAUUCAUUUAACGAAUGCCUUAAAUUGAGUCAAAUUUGAAAAAAAAUGAGGUACUUGAUUAAAAAAGAAAAGUUUAGGUAAUCAAUCGUAAACUAAGCAAAAGUUUUGAUAAUUUUGACGUCAUUAUCCUCGACUACUAAACCGCACCAAGAAAAACAUUUCAACAAAAAUGUUAUCUGAGAAGGUCACUUUAAGGUGGCAAAGUUGGAAAUAGUCACUAUAUUGGCAGUGUUAAUGGCCCCAACACAGCCGUGGCCGUGCUUUGAUGGUGCCCCAUCUUGCCCCUUUCCUUCUUUAUUUUCUUUUUUAACUUUUUGUUGUUUCUUCAUUUUUGGCUUUCUCUUUGCUUUUUUCUUUUCUUUUGUUGAACUCAAAUUUGAAAAGAUACAAUAGAGACUAAUGAAUGAAAAAAUCUCAAAAUAUUAGACCCAACAAGAGUUGGGGGAAAAUUAUAGUAUUGUUAAUUUUAAGCAAGACUUAUAGUACCGGAAAUUCUACCGGAAACGACAAGAAAUACAUAAGGAGUCUUGGUCUUCUUGGCAUCAAUUGAAGUUUCUUUCCCACCAAUGAAAGACGUGCACCUUCGAAAGAUGUGCAAAAGUCUUAGGGUGCGUUUGGUAAGGCUUUUGGAAAAAGCCUUUGAGAAAAUGCAAACACCUUUGAGUUAAAAGGGUUUUUCAAAAUGCAAAUGGUGUUUGGUAAAUUGUACUUUGAAAGUCCAUUUUGAAGUAGCUUGGGGAAAAAUAGUGUUUGGAAAGACUACAUUUACAAAGGACUUGGUGAUUAAUAAAAAAAAUAAAAAAACUAUCAAAAAAAUAAAAGAGUUCACCGGCGAGGGUCAGGAGGCCGCCGGCGAGAGGCAGGCAGCCGCCGGCGAGACCCGGAAAUGACCAGUGAGGGCCGCCUAGGGUCGGGCGACCUCCGACGAGGGUCGCCUAGGGUCGGACGACCCUCGGCGGCCCUUCGCCGGAGGUUGCGCGACCUCGCAAUGAUCGACGCGACCCAGAUUUGGUCGCCGGGAGUGGGUUGCGCUCGAGGUCGCGUCACCUCUGCGUUGCGCCUGAGGUCGCGUGACCUCCGGCGACCCAGAGCUGGGUCGCGGCGACGCGACUCGCGAGCGGUUGCCGGGACUCGCGAGCGGUCGCCGGGGUCGCGCGACUGGCCGGUGAUGGUCGCCGUGACCUCGCCGACCUCAGCCGAGUCCAUCGCCGGCCUCUCGAGCUCGUUCGCGCCGCUGGAGAAGAAGAUGAACAGUACACUGAUGAACAGUGAUGAGGCAUUCCGAGAAUGCUGAAAGCCCAAGGCAGCCUAGGACCUGCCUUGGGCUUUCAGCCUUGCAAAUGCCAGCAUCUCCCCAAUGCGCCUUGCAAAGUGGUUCCCAAACACCUCUAUUUUGGCCCAAAGGCCUUUAGCCCCUCAAAGCCCCUUCCAAAGCAGUAUCCAAACGCACCCUUAGUCCCUUUGGAAUUUAUUAAAGUUUCUUUUCCACCAUCAAAAGAUGCGCACUAUUAUAAAACAUACAAAAGUCUUGGUCUUUCGGGAAUUUAUUAGUUUCUUUCCCACAAUCAAAGACGUGAUGUGACAAAGUCUUGGUCCUUUUGAAAUCUAUUAAAAAAAUUUCCCACCAUUGAAAGGCGUGCAAAAGUCUUGGUCUUCGUAUAAUCUACUGAAGUUGCUUUCCCAUCAUCACUUUUUAACUUUUCCAGAUAAAAAAGAAAAUAAUAUGUUUGGUAGGUAAAAGUCCUUGUUUGGGAAUGAUACCUUUAGUAGGUGAAAGUCAUGAUCUUCUUGAACUUCUAUGGUUCUAUCUCUCCAUUAGCUCCUCAUCAUUUUGCUCCGCCAUAGCUUCUACAAUGGACUGAUUCGCUCAUGGCCAUUGGAGAGAUCUUUCUUGAUUCCUUCUUUUGGAUUCUGUUCAACAAAGUUGAGUUCUCUAGAGUUGGAUUAUGUGUAAAGUGAUGGAAUCAACAUCACUUUACUCAAUAUGUACAUCAAUAAUUUUGUUAUAAUAUGUUAUGUAAUUCAAUCUUAAAUAUUUGAAUUUUUUUGGCUUAUAAAAAUUUUCACCAAAAAAUUCAAAUCUUGAGAUGUUUCUCUCUUUCCAUGUAAACAUACAUGGAUACAAAUUUCCUCAUAUUGUGUAAAUAAAUUUUUAUGGAUAAAUAAUUUAAAUUUUACAAAAUCUUUUGAAUGUUAAUCUUUACACUCAACUAGUAUGCACUUUUGCUAACUUUAUUAAAUAAAACUAUCUUCUAAUUCAUUUAUAUGAAAAUGAUCAAUGCCAUUCUUCCAUUAAUUCAAGUUUAGGGAUAAUUCAAGGACUGAAUUAAAUACGUGCAAAAAUUUUAGGAACUAAAUUAAACAAAUUAAAAAUUCAAGGAUGAUAUCGCAUAUCAACUAAAAUUCAGAGACUAUAUUAUACAUUGAGUUAAACUUCAUGGACUAUUUGCAUCAUUUUCUCAAGAAAAUAUAGUUAACAUGUCUGUUAAUGAACAUUGUUAUGCAUGUUUCAGCCUCUUGAGAGAGCACUCCAAGAAAAUGGUAACGACUUGGAUUCGGCCAUCAGUAGGGAUCUGCUGAUCAAUUUUUCUAAAAGUUACCGUAUUACUGCAGCAUCACAUUUGUUUUGUGAACUGCCCUAGCAAAUAAGUAGAAGCAACAUCAUUACUUGACAUAUUUGGUGUAGCUUCGCUAUAAGCAAGAUCCUCCUCCAUUGGAACAAAAGGUCACAGAAUCAGGACUGCAUCUGUUAUCUUCCUUGUACCAUUAGUAAUGAGACAUUCGUUGAUUCUACCCGAGGUAAGGCGCAGAAAAUAUGUUUCGCCAAGAGGUCCUGCACCGUUUCUUGCUUCAUCUCAAAGGAAAGGUAAUGUAAAUACAAUGCUGGCUCGGAAGCAUCUGCCGCCGAGGAACUUUAGCCCUGUUUAUCUGGUUGGGUUGCUUUUGGUGUGUAGAUGGAAAGACUCCCUUCGCAAUUCUAAUGCAAAAAAGGGCGAAAUUAUUCCGAAUUUUGGGUCCCCUUCCUCACCUUCUUCAACUCCAUCAAGCUUGCACGCUUCACCUUUAUUUUGUUUUCUUCUUAUCUUCUUCUACUAAUAAUGACAGACAUGGGGCCCAUUUCUUUUUCUAAAUGUUUUAAAGUUGUUCUAGCGACACUAAAUCAAAGUGUUUGAUCAACAAAACUGUCUUUGGAGCCAAAGGGGAAAAAAAAAAGGCUUGAACUUUGCGGUCAGCGCUUCUGCUGCUAAAGUUGAGCCCCUCGCUGAAAUUUCCAGUGACGAGCUUGAACAUUAUGACAGGCCCGUCGUUGAUGAAGCCAACUCUUGUUCUAAAUAAGAUGGAACUAAGCGAAAACAUAGAAAAAUUCAAUUAGCUCUGGAAAUUUUCAAUUAUUGCUCAUGAAUUCCUAAAAUGAAAGAUUAAAAGUACAUACACAAUGAUUAUAAGCCCAUGCAUAAAUGGGACCAAGCACGCUCAUAAAUAAGCCCUAUUAAUUAAUGAGCCCGAGAGAGAAAGGGGACCAAUACAUGUAACGGGCGGAAUAAGGGUUUAGUCCAUGUUUUAAAAAUAAUUCAUAAAAAAAAAUGUGCAAAUGAAAAGUAAAUGUUUAUCAUCGUGCAUGACCACUAUGAGAAAGUAAAAGAUACGAUAGAGAGAACGGAGAAGGGGAAAAAUACAUUCAAAGUUACCACCUAAAAGAAGUAAAUGCUCUGACUCAAAAGAAAAAAAAAAUCAUGUUGUUAAAUAGAUAAAUGUGGCGCUAACCUCCUUGUGAAUUUUUCAUAAUAAUGUUAUCAAAUUGUGGAAAACUCGUUAUUUUUCUUAAUCAUAGAUCUUAACAUUUGCUUUCACCCAUAAUAAAUAGGAAAAACAUUGCUGGAAGUAACCUCCUUGUCUGUUCUUCAUACCAAUUAAAAUCAUCAGAUCACCAUUGCCUAUGAUGAAGGGCACGUGAAUUCUGGAUGAAAUUCACAUCUUUCCAAACUAUUCCGAAUACAAAAUGUUUAAUGAAUGCGUUCCUCUGCUGCACAAGAAAGAUCUAAGAUAAACAAAUGAAAAGGCUGGAUGGAGAGAACAUGCUUUUUGGGUGGAAAGCGCGCGGUUUUUGGACGAUUCCCGAAUACACUGUCUAAUGAACAAGUCUUCCUAGGCAAUUUUAAAAGUUAUUGUGACUUGGAGUAGUGCAAUGCAUUUCUUCUCAUUUCAAUGGACCUCGCCCUCUAGGUCAAGCCAAUAUCACCGACCAAAAAACAAAAAAGCCAAUAUCAUUGGGUUGCGCUUGUCAUGGACAAAAAGAAAAUGGCUAACCUUUAUCUCUAGAUGCAUGCCCUCUUGCUGAGGCCAAUCUUCGAUGGAGAGCACAUGCGUUAUGGUGGAGAGCACAUGGCCUUGGAAUAAUUACGAAUCCCAUGAUGAUUAAUGAAAAGAAUAUGCCUUCUUGCUGCAACAAAAAGAUGUAGAUAAACAGAUGAAAAGACUGGAUGGAAAGCACAAGCUUUCUAGGUGGAGAGCACAUGCGCUCUAAAAGAUUCCCCUCUUUGAUUGCAUAUUUUGUAUUCGAUUAAUGUAGACUUUAAGUAGUAGUAACAAUGCUGAAAAUUCGCAACAAGUUGGGCGGCAAUGAUUUGUUGAAGGAUGAGGUAGUAGCAAAUGAUCGGUAAUUGCUUGAUGGGAGAAUCAUAGUCCUUUAAACAAAGUUUUUCUAUUCAUUAGUGUGACGCGUAAAGUAUAAUUUUCACUAGAUUUUAUAUUGUUGUUUGGUUUUUUAAAGUAGUUCACUAUUUCUAGAGCAAAAUAAAGCAACUUGUAUAAUGGAUUUGUUGGUAUAACUGACCCACCCUUUUUUUUAAUUAGCCCAAAGCACAUGCUUUGUUUUUCUUGUUUCACCCAAAGCACCGUAUUUUUGUUCUUUUUAUUGAACCGUCAAAAUUAGCUAUCUUCGAUGACUUGUAGAUGUAUGGUAGCCAUUGUUAGGUGACUCUCAACAUUUAUGUUAGGUGGUGCAAGUUGCCCAAAGAUGCUUAUUUGUCAAUCUUAUUCAUUGUGGUCAGCUUUAUUCAUUACUAGACAAGUCAGAAAGUAACAAUGCAUAAUCUACUAGAAAUCAUACUCUAGGCAUUACACUAAUGAACAGGAAAAUCGUGCAAAGGACCACAAUUCUCCUAUCAAGCGAUUCCGAUCAUCGACUAUUACGUCAACAUCCUUCAUCAAAUUAUUAUUGCACAUCUUGCUGUGAAUUUUUAGCACGUAACGGCCACAUAAAAGCUUGCAUUGAUGGCAUUUUCACCAAUAACGCAGGAAACAAAGACAUUGAAAUCAUAAGGUUACUGAAAAUGUAUGGAUGGGAAAAAAAAAAGGCAACAAAAACACUCGUAAGUGAUAAAUUUUUUUUAUAUGAUAAUCUAUGUGCACUCUAAGUUGGUCAUACGACCAAAAAUCACCUUUUGAAAUUGUUUUAGAUCAAGACUUUUGGCUUGUGUAUGAAACAAAUGACCUUUUCUUGUCGCCAUCAAAACAGAGGAUAAGAGGUGAUUUUUCUUCAAUGAUCAAUUCCAAGCACACACAUAUUUUCUCAAUAUGGUCUCAGUAUCCUUGUGAUUUCAAUGUCUUUGUUUCCGCUUUAUUGGUGAACAUGCAAUCAAUGUAGGCUAUUACAUGACAGUUACAGUGCUAAAGAUUUGCAUAUGUUUAAGAAAAUAAUUUAUGGAAACGAUUUGACUAUAUUGUGGAAAUACAAGAAGUUCCUUGAUUCCUCCUUCAAUGUGGACGGAUAGAUAAAGUUAGCUUUGUCCUUAUUGAACAAACAAAGUUAGCUGUCUAUGAUGACUUCUUGUAUAACGCAAAGUCUUGGUCUUCUGAGUUUAUGAUACACACACACACAUACAUACAUACAUACAUACAUACAUACAUACAUACAUACAUAUAUAUAUAUAUAUAUAUAAACAAAUAUAUGAUUGUGAAAACUACAUGUAUCUAAAGAUAAUCUCUAAACAUUAGGAGACAAGCACUUGUGGACAAAAGACUUUAAUUUUGAUCCCUCUAACCACUUAUGAGCAUCCUUGAGAGUCUUGGUCUUUGUUUAAUGUUUUUAGUAGUGAAAGUUUUGGUCUUCUUGGACUUUAUAGUUUUCUCUCUUCGUUAGCUCAUUUUAUCACUUUGCUUCGCCAUAACCCAUGCUUGUCCCCCUGCUCAACCGUGUUCUACUCCUACUCAUCCGAACCUAGCGUCCGUGCUUGCUGGAUUGCUGUCGUUGAUACUAAUCCCGUUCACCAGACUACUCCAAGAAGUCUACACUUAAAAGGUAAGAGACAUCUUGCUUUCUUUUUCCCUCAAAUUGAUAUAGCCAGAACUUCGCUGCCUAAAGCAUCUCGUGGGCAUUUAUUACACGAGGGCAACUGCCAAUUCUUUGAAAAAUCUUUCUAUUAAUGGAGCCAAAAGCAAUAUCUUGAGCAAAAGAAGAGGCGGCAGCAGCAACAGAAGUUUGGAUCUUAAACCGAUUUCAUGCCUACCUAUAGUCCUGAUUGAAGUUGAUGCGAAAUACUUGAUAAGUUCAAUAACAGGUUUAAUAACAAAGAAUUGUUAUUUCAAUUUUUGUUAGAUAGUACUAUUAGGAUGUUAAUAUUAAUUUUUAAUCUCUCUAUCAUUGUUCUUUUUACUAAACACACACUGAUAUGAAAUAAUUUUACACGAUUAGAAGUACAGAGAUCACAGUAUUAAUUUACAAUGGAAUCCGUAUUGGUAUUCUUCUCGCAGUGUAAUUAUUUCACAUCAUUAAUAUAUUCAAAUUUUAGUCCAUGAAAUUGGGGAAGUAACAAUAAAUAUCGUAAGAGGAUAGCUUCAUUCCUCUUCCGCAAAGACUCUCGGGAAAGUCACGUUUGCCAUAAUUUGCUCUGUCAAACAAAAUAACUAACUUUUGCUAUGUCUUUCACAUACUCUUAUAAUAAAAUCUGACCAAAAAACUCUUAUAAUAAAAAGUUCUUAUUAUAUAAAUAUAGUGGAUUUACCAUUAGCCGAAAGGGAUAAGAUGAAUUAAUAAGGUGAUUGAGAUUUAGGAUUCUUUUAAUGUAUACCAGUGUAAUCAAUCGAAUUAAGUCAAUACUGUCGCAAUUCAAAAUUCAUAGUAGUUCUUGCUGAAGUCCCAAGGGUGUUGUGAGGGGACAACUUGUUUUACCAAUGAUAGUUCAAUGCAGGAAAUUAAUCCAUAUAUUUUCUUUCGAGACAAAGAACAAUGUAUAUUUGUAUGCAAUAAAGAAUUAAAUUUUGAAUUAGAAAAUUGAAACUGUGCUUUGUUAGAAAAGAACACACAGACUCGUGUUUUGUUUGGAAAAAAGAAGAAGGUAUUUCUACAUCAAAAAAGUUUUCGAGAUUUUUUAUCUUUUAUAAUGUGCAUUAAUCUCGUAUCAAACAGACUUCACAUAUUGUUCAACCCCAAAAAGCACAAGUUGUCAUUUUAUAUUGUACACUCCCAAAAGCCGGUCUUUUUUAUUUUAAUUUUUGCAGGCGUCCAAAAGAUGAAGUUAUGAUAUAGAAUCAAUUGGUAGGGUUGUGAAGCCAAGAACACAUCACUCCAUUAAUUUAUGCUCCAUCUUUUCUUUUUUUUUAAGCCCGAGAGAGAGAGAGAGAGGACCGAUACUGCAUGUAAUGGGCGAAUCAAGGGUUUAAUACAUGUUUUACAAAAAUUAAUAAAAAAGAAAGUGAGAAUGAAAAGUAAAUAUUUAUACGUGCAUGCCCACUAUGAGAAAGUAAAAGAUAUGAUACGGAGAGCGGAAAAGCAGCAAAAAAAAAAACAAAGUCAACACCUAAAAGAAGUGAAAUGUUUAGACCCAAAAAAAAAAAAAUUCAUAUGGUUAAACAGAUAAAUGUGGCUCUAACCUCCUUGUGAAUUUUUCAUUAUGAUGUUACCAAAUUGUGGAAAACUCAUCAUUUUUGCUUAAUCGUAGAUCAAUGAAAGACAAAAAGAGGAACAUUUGCUUUCACCCAUAGUAAAUAGGAAAAACAUUGCUGGAAGCAACCUCCUUGUCUCUUCUUCGUACCGAUCAUAAUCAUCAUAUUACCAUUGCCUAUGAAGAAAGGCACGUGAAUUCUGGGUGAAAUGCACAUCUUUCCAAACUAUUCCAAAUACAAAAUGUUUAAUGAAUGCGUUCCUCUGUUGCACAAAAAGAUCUAAGAUAAACAAAUGGAAAGGUUGGAUGGAGAGAACAUGCUUUCGGGGUGGAAAGCACAUGGUUUUUGAACGAUUCGUGAACACACUGUCUAAUGAACAAGUCUUCCUAGGUGAGUUGUCUAUUGAUUAAUCCAAUUUUAAAAGUUAUUGUGGCUUGGAUGCAUUUCUUCUCAUUUCAAUGGACCUUGCCCUCUAAGUCAAGCCAAUAUCACCAACCAAAAAACAAAAAAAGACAAUAUCAUUGGGUUGCGCCCGUCAUGGACAAAAAGAAAAUGGCUAAUCUUUAUCUCUAGAUGCAUGCCCUCUUGCCAAGGCCAAUCUUCGAUGGAGAGCACAUGUGUUAUGGUGGAAAGCACGUGGGGUCUUUAAAUGAUUACAAAUCCCGUGAUGAUUAAUGAAAAGAAGAUGCCUUCUUGCUGCAACAAAAGAUGUAGAUAAACAUAUGAAAAGACCGGAUGGAAAGCACAAGCUUUCUGGAAGGAGAGCACAUGCUCUCUAAAAGAUUCCCCUCUUUGAUCACAUAUUUUGUAUUCGAUUAAUGUAGGCUUUAAGUAGUAGUUACUAUGCCGAAAAUUCGCAACAAGUUAGGUGGCAAUGAUUUGCUGAAGGGUGCCGAGGCAGUAGUAAAUGAUCGAGAGUUGCUUGAUGGGAGAUUCACGGUCCUUUUAAACAAAAAUUUUCUGUUCAUUAUUGUGAUGCAUAAAGUAUAAUUUUCACUAGAUUAUAUAUUGUUGUUUGGUAUUUGUUACUGGUUCACUAUUUCUAGAGCAAAAUAAAGCAACUUGCAUAAUGGAUUUGUCGGUAUGCCUGACCCACCCUUUUUUUAAUUAGCCCAAAGCACAUGUUUUUUUUUUUCUAUUUAACAAACAAAAAGGUAAUCUUUAAACAUUACGAGACAAAGACUUGUGGGCAAAAGGUAUUUUAUCUCUAACCAUGGAUGUGCAUCCAUGAAAGUCUUGGUCUUUGUGUAAUGUUUUUGCUAGACGAAAGUCUUGGUCUUCUUGGACUUUAGUUUCCUCUUCCGUAGCUCACUAUCACUUUACUUCACCAUGACCCUUGUUCUCUAUAGUGACUGAUUCACCCAUUUUCUCUCUCCACCAACUCAUUCUCACUUUGCUUCACCAUAACCUAUGUUGUUCUCUACAGUUUACGAAUUCACCCAUGGCCAUUGGGGAGAUCCUUUUGAGUGCCUGCCUUCAAGUCUUGUUUGAGAAGUUGGCAUCUCUGGGAUUGCGCUAUGCACAAAGGGAAGGAGCACCACCCUUCUCUGAAUUUAGCAUACUCAUCAAUAAGUGGGAGAAAAUGCUGGUUACAAUCAAUGCAGUGCUGGCCGAUGCGGAGGACAAGCAACUAAGCAAUAAAGGUCCAGUGAAACUAUGGCUAGAUGAUGUUAGGGACUUAGCCUAUGACAUGGAAGACUUGCUUGAUGAGUUUGCUAUUGAAGCUGCCCAAGCUAAGUCGAAGGCAGAAUCCAGCACAAGUGGAGGUCUACAGAAAUGGAUGUUCCCUUUAGUUAGCCAAUAUAAGCCCUCCAUAUCAAAUCCAAACCUAGGCUCACUCGUGUCUAAAGCUGAGGUACAAAAGAUCUCUGACAAGUUGGAAGAGAUUGUCAAUAGGAAGGCUCAUCUAAGCUUGAUAGAGAAUGCUAUGAACAGAUCUGACUACACCGACAAAAGGCUCCCUAGCAGCUCUCUGCCGGAGUCUCGAUUUUUUGGCAGGGAGAAGGAAGAAGAGCAGAUACUCGAACUACUGACCGGUGAAGCCGAAAAUGGCAAUACCACAUUGAGCAUAGUCCCCAUAGUUGGGAUGGGUGGUAUUGGAAAGACAGCGUUAGCUCAGCGGCUAUACAAUGAUGCCAAAGUGAGUAGAUACUUCGAAAAGAGAGCAUGGGUUUGUGUUUCUGAUGUUUUUAAUGUUCUUGACAUAACCAAGACUAUUUUGCGGUCGAUCACUGAGGUGUCUAAUGAGGGUGAAGAUCUUAAUAGGCUUCAAGUUAAGUUAAAGGACAGUCUAUCAGGGAAAAAGUUUCUUGUGGUUUUAGAUGAUGUUUGGAAUGAAAACUACGGACGAUGGACCACCCUCUUGAAGCCAUUUGAAGCUGGGGCUAAAGGAAGUAAGAUCAUCAUAACGACUCGCAACUAUACUGUUGUUUCCAUAACAGGAGCUUCGUCGUAUCCUUUGAAGGAGUUGUCCCUUAAUAAUUGUACAAGCUUAUUAGCCUUUCAUGCUCUUAAAACGACAAAUUUUGAGAAGCACCCAGAUCUUGAAACAAUAGGCAAGAAAAUAGCCGAAAAAUGUAAAGGUUCACCUUUGGCAGCAAAGGUAUUGGGAGGUCUUCUACGUGAUAAAAGGAAUCCUGAUCAAUGGGAAGCUAUCUUAAACAGCAGAAUGUGGGAUCUUCCAAUGCGAGAAAAUGAUGAGGUUUUUCGAGUUUUGAAAUUGAGUUAUAUCCAUCUUCCUUCAUAUUUGAAGAGAUGUUUUGUUUAUUGUGCAAUAUUUCCCAAGGAUUACGAAAUUGAGAGGGAUGAGCUUGUGCACUUAUGGAUAGCAGAGGGUUUUUUUGAUGGAGGAAGAUCAAAGGAUAAUAUCUUGAAAUGGGGACGAGCUCACUUCGAUGAGUUAGUAUCUAGAUCGUUUCUUCAACAAUCAAGUGUCAGCGCGUCUAAGUUUUCAAUGCAUGAUCUUUUGAAUGAUCUAGCAAAGUCAAUUGCGGGUGGGACAUGCUUUAACUCUGAGUCUCGGUUGGCAUAUGAUGAAGAUGAUGCAUCUCCUGGGAAAGUUCGUUAUGCAUCAUUCACCUCGUUGCGAUAUGUUUCAUCAAAAUGCAUAGGAGCAUAUCAUCAAAUGAAGGUACUAAGAAGUUUAAUAUUCUUGUAUGAUCAUGGGGAUGACAAAUUCCACAUUUCCAACAAAGUGCUACAUGACUUGCUAACAAAAUUGAAGUACUUAAGGGGGUUCUCCUUAAGUCAUUGUUCCAUCACAGAGGUCCCGGAUUGUGUUGGUGAUUCAAAAUAUCUUCGUUAUCUCAAUUUCUCGUACACACAUAUAGAAAGGCUACCUGAGUCAAUCGGCAACUUGUGCAAAUUACAAGCUUUGAUCUUAAAAGGUUGUGAAGAGCUCUCUUUAUUGCCUCAAGGAAUCACAAAAUUGGUCAACUUACAGUUUCUUGAUAUUAGAGAUACAAGGAGUCUAAAGGAGAUGCCAUUAAGUAUCAGUAAUUUGGAGAAUCUAUGAUCUUGUCCAAGUUUGUGAUAGGACCAGACAAACGGUCACGGUUAAAGGAGUUAAAGAACUUGUCAAACCUUCAAGGAGAAUUGUUCAUAUCAGAAUUGCAAAAGGUGGAAGAAGUUAGAGAAGCAACUGAUGCUAAUUUAAUUGGAAAGAGAGGCCUUAGCAACUUAUUUUUGCACUGGGGUGAAAAUUUUGGAAAUUUGCGAAAUGGGAAGCACGAAGCACUAGUGCUUCACCAUCUGAAACCUCACACUAAUCUUGAACAUCUCUCUAUCUCGCACUAUCGUGGUGCAAGAUUCCCCUCAUGGUUAGAUAGUCCAUCUUAUUCUAAGAUAGUUUCUUUAUGCUUACGGGAUUGUCCUAAUGUCACAUCGCUUCCGCCACUUGGACAACUACCUUCACUUAGAGAAUUAUCUCUUGAAGGUCUACAUGCAGUAAGCACGAUAGGCCCUGAAUUUUACGGAGGUAAAAGGCCUUUUUCAUCCUUAACAACUCUGAAGCUGAAAGAGAUGUUGGCAUGGAAAGAUUGGUCUUGUUAUGCUGGGGGUCAAGAAGAAGAUGUCACAUUCUCUCGUCUUCAGCAUCUAGUUGUCCAGGGAUGUUAUUCGUUGGUCGGGACAUUGCCUGGUCGACUUGAUCUUCUCAAGAAGCUAGAAAUUUAUUCAAGCCCGCAUUUGAAUAGCUCAACCAAUGUGGUUUGUCUCCCAUCUCUCUGUGAGUUAUCCCUUAAAAAUUGUAACGAGGAGAUCUUAAAAAUCUUUUUAAACUUAACUUCUUUGACUGUUCUCAAAAUUGAGAAUCUUGCAGAGCUUGUUUGCUUUGAUCAUGGGUUUACGAGUUACUUGGUUAAGCUAAAGGAGCUUUAUGUAAGACGGUGUGACAAGCUAGAACACUUGUGGCAAAAUGGAAAUGAGAUGCAAAAUCUUGCUUGCCUUCAGAGUGUAGUCAUUGAUAGUUGUCCUCAAUUCACAUCUUUUGUGGCUGGAGAUGGAGAAAUGGAGCUAUCCUGCAACCUUGAAAAGAUGGAAUUGAUAAAUUGCACGAGUUUACAAAAGCUUCCAAGCAAUAUGUACGCAUUAAUAGAUUUGAAAAUUGAGAAUUGUCCAAAAAUCAUGGGACUAAUAAUUUCUCAAGAUGACCCCAAUAGCAAUAACUUGAUAUCUCAACUUGAAUUUCUUACUAUAAGUGAAUGUGAUUCUUUGAUAUCAUUUUCAUUUGCCAAGGGUAGACUUGCUUCUCUGAAGGAGCUUGUUAUUGAGAAGUGUGAGGGGGUGGAGUCCCUCAAAGAGAUCACAGCAGAAUCGCUGGAUUAUUUGUUUAUAAAGAGAUGUGAGAAUUUGGUGAGUCUACCACGAUGCCUUCACACGCUCUCCCAUCUCACUUGGUUGAGUCUAAAUGGGUGUCCAUCAUUGGAGAUAGAGGACUUCCCUCCCCUUCCCAUCACCCUGGUGACACUUGAUCUUUGGUCGCUUCCUAAGAUGAAGUCUCUACCAAAGGAGUGGCAUCAUCUUACGUCCCUCCGCUGGCUAAAUAUUUCGGGCUGUGAAAAUAUCAGAUGCUUGCCCGAAGGAGGUUUGCCUCCCAAUUUGCGGCAGUUUUCAAUUUGGGAGUGCAAGAAUAUGAAGCAACCACUGAGAGAAUGGGGCUUACCCAUGCUCACAUCCCUCGAGCGUCUGAUAAUGGAGGGAAACAGCAUGGGAGGGGAGGGAGACAAGGUGCGGUUUCCUUCGGAGGGAGACGACGAGGAUGCCUGGAGUCUUCUCUUUCCUUCCUCUCUAACCGAUCUUCACUUGAGAGAUAUGAGGAAUGUGGAAAGUCUAUCAAGCGGUCUUCGCAACCAUCUCUCCUCUCUCCAAUGGUUAUGGGAUUACAGAUUGCCCGAAGUCGAAGUUGAGGUACUUGCCAGAGGGGGCCUCCCUCCCUCCCUCCAAUGGUUGUCCAUAAGAAAAUGCGAGAAUCUGAAAGAUCGAUACUCAAAACACUCCGGCCACUGUGGGCCCUCAUCCAAGAGAUCCCUUUCAUUCAAUGGUGUGUAUAACGGAUGCAAUAAAUCGAUUCAUCCUGGUACGGUCAGAUUUUCUAGGGCUCGGAUAAGUUUAUGGUCUUGAAGGCAUCGAUUUCCCAUUCUGCUUCCUCAACUCGAUGCUCAAUGCAAAUCGAUACUUCCUCAUGGAGAUGCUCCGCAUGAAUUUCCGGAAAUCCAGGAAAUCCUCAACAUCGGCGUCGAUGGGGUUCUCAGAUCCGAUGAAGUGAAAUCGAACCACUUGUUCUUGAACGGGCUAACUGCCGCGAUUCAAUCCCUUCGAUCUACGGUCGGAUUUCUAAGGGUUCGGGUAAGUCCUUUCGUCUUGAAUGCAUUGAUUUCGUGUUUCUGUUCUUCAUUUCGAUGCUUAAUUACGAAGUAAAUUCUUCCGAUGUGCGCAGACGUUUGCUUCUCGUGUUGAAGUACGACUGAAAUUCAGAGCUAAAAAAUUGAUAAUUAGCUGCUUGAAUAUCCAGCAAGAGCUUAUUUUAGUCUCCGAUUGCACUGGCUUGCGAAAGUUGAUGAUGAUGAUGAUGAUAUUCUUGUAUGCCACAGCUGCAUCCAUGUCCACUACUGCCUUGGGCUGGCUUUUCUCUUCAGCCACUGCAAAGCUCUUUCGAACGGCAAGUAAUUCAGCCUCCUCUGCAGGCAACCAUCUCCCCUGUUUCAGUUCUGGCCUCAUUCCCAACAAUUUUUGUUCAUAUACGGAUGUGAGAUUCUGAAAAAUCGAGAUGUUCAAAUGUCACUGGCGACUAUUGGCCUCUCAUCCAAGAGAUAUCUUUCAUCAGCAUUGAUAGCCACGAUAAAAGAUUUGUCUCCAUUGACUGCUUUUUAUUAAUCAGGUAAUGCUUCCAACUUCUUUUAUAUUUUUGCUUUCAUUUGUUAACUGUCGGGAUUCAUACAUUGAUGCAAUGUAAGCUUUCUAGGUUCAGGUAGGUUUUUGGUUUUCGAGGCAUCAAUUUUGAUUCUGCUCCCCCAAUUCGAUGUGUAAUACACACUGAUGUUUUCCCAUGGAGGUGUUUCCAGUUACCUUGUCAUUGUCUUGCACUAAUUGAACUUAUUGGAAUCAGUCUUUACAUCGAAAAUAUAAUAGAACCAUUUGGUAAUUACAGCUACAGGGAGCCUCUGUCAUCAUACAUCUAACUUAUAAUGGAAUGGAAACCAAUGUGAAUGUUCCAACUUGCAAAUUAUUGGAAUAGAAUAGUUAUGCUAGCCUGAAUUACAGAAAUUUAUAAUACCAAGUAGUUCCAAUAUCUGUGCCUAUGGGCAAUAUUGGGCUUUGCACAUAAUAAAUGUGGAAAUCUUUUUGUUUUUAAAUGUGGACUUUAAGUUCUGCUUUAAUGACCAGUGAAUACUAUAGCUUUAUCUUUGUGAAUUGUUAGUUUCUUGUCUAAUGAUAGAUGAGUAUGAUUUUGUGUAUUUAAUUAUCCCUGACUGUAGGGUUUGGAUGCAGUUGAGACACUCAUUCAAGGUUUGGUCUUGUUCCAAGGAGGAAUUCUGAUGGUGAGAUUGAUUUUUCUUGCUAACAUACUUUAAUAUGACCAAUGAUGGAUCAUCUUUACAGCUAACAGCCAUCUUUUCACCUUGAUUUGCAGGUUAGUCAUGAUGAGCAUCUAAUAUCUGGAAGCGUGGACGAGCUCUGGGUGAUUUCUCAAGGCAAGGUGGCGCCUUUCCUUGGGAAUUUCCAGGAUUAUAAGAAGAUACUUCAGUCCUCAUUGAAUCAGGCGAGUUUAGCUCUUGUCAUCAACCAAGAGUGUUUUAACAUGAUCACAUCACAUCACCCUACAAAACAUAGAAUGAGACUUUGUUACAGAGAGAAAACAAAAAAGGAUGAAGAGAGGAUUGCUGCUGAUAUACAGGAUGUACUCACAACUACAGCAGCCCUCGUUUGUCAUUUUGAUUAGGGCUCAUGGAAGGAUGAGUCUCAAGUUUUUGACAUUGAAUAUGCAGUAUCAUUUGCCAACAGCUUAAAAAAAUGAGUCUGGAUUGCAGUCCUGGUAAUAAUUUAUGACCCUUUGCCCAUUUUUAUCUUAGUGACAGGUUCGUUUGUUGUGCCCCUGGAAAUUUGACACGGAAGUGCUUUUUAUUUUGCGCUAAUAUUAACUUUCAUUUUCUUCUUUUUUGUCCUUUUUCUAACCCUAAACUCUUGAAACUUUUGCACAAAUGCACAAUGUUGACAUAUGAAUUCACAUAUUUAUUUUCCAUUUUUUAAAAAAAAAUUGGAUAAGGGUUGUUAAUUUUGACAUGAAAAGAAAAGUUUCUUUUACUUGAACUUAAUUCUACACAACCCAAGUCCUUUGAUUUGCUGGAGCAACCUAGGGGAUAAUUCUUUUAUCAUGUGCUACAUAUAUGUUCUUUUGUUCUUUUACAACAUCCCACCUCUGUAUGUCUUGCAUUAUCCCAGCAUCUUUUUNNNNNNNNNNNNNNNNNNNNNNNNNNNNNNNNNNNNNNNNNNNNNNNNNNNNNNNNNNNNNNNNNNNNNNNNNNNNNNNNNNNNNNNNNNNNNNNNNNNNUUAUGGUGAUCUAUAUUGACAAAAUCUCUUGGGAGGAUCACAUGCGAACAUUGCUGAGGUCGGAUUAAUAUAGUCAAUUAUAUGGGUCAUUUUUCCAAAUUAAAAAACUCGAAAAAACAAGCUUUUAAUUAUCAUUUGGUGCAUUGAUAUGUUCUGAAUUAUUUUCUAGUGAAUAUGAUCUAAAUAAGAAUAAUCUUUUUCGACAUGUUCAGGUCAAUAUUCAAAAUAAGAAGCUUUCUUUCUUCUGGUUGUUGUAUGGAUAUUUGACCUGUUACCCUCUGUGGCAGGAUCGUUUGCUGUUGUGGAUGACAUCUUCUGUUUGUUUCAAGGACACCCAGAGGGUGUUGCUCUUCUCAAGCAGCAAUAUGGAUUGAGUGAGACCACCAAUGAGGUCACUGCUGUCAUAGAAGCUCAUAGAACUCCGAGAGAUCGGAGGCCUUAUGCUGCCGAUUGAGUUAUGAAAGACAUCACUGGAAAGUUUGCAUUUGUGCUCUUGGACAGCCCUUCAGAAACCACUUUUCUGGCUGCUGUAAGUAACAAUAAUUUUCAUGGUUUCAUUCUGGGGAUAUCUCUCUCUCUGUCUCUCCCUCCACCUGCGAGCUGUCUAAUCCUUUAUGUCCUCUUAAUUAUGCAGAAUGUUGGUGGAAGUGUCCCUUUCUUCUAGGGAAGUGAUUGUGAAGGCGAUCUUGUUCCCUCAGACGAUGCAGGAGUCAUAAACAAGGGCUGUGGGAAACUGUUGCACCAUUCCCUAAAGGUAAUUAUCUUCACAGAUCAUAGAUGCAGUGUCACUGGCAUUUACUCCGAGCAUUGGAACGUGAAAAGUAAGGAGGGAUGAGCUCUGCUGAUAGGAGAAUGUUAUGUUAUUGGAUAACAUCAUAUUGGAAGAGCAACAUUGUAGGUUAAAAAGCACAUUUCAAAAUGUGCGUACAUUGUAGGUUAAAUCGUUCACCAUUGAACAUUGCCUUUUUUUGAACUCAGGAUGCUUCUUCAUCAGCUCUGGAGGUUUGUGGAGUUAUGAGCACCCACCAAAUGAGGUGAAGUGAGUUCCUGGGGUGGAUAGCUUGGGCCGAGUGCAUGGCGCCACAUUCGAAGUGGUGCAGAGACUAAGAAGGAGUCUAACAUGCCUAGAGUUAGGAGUGCUGCGAACUGGUCCUCGCACUACCUAGUCAUAUGGUUUGUGGCCCUUUCUUGGCCAGGCCAUUUGCUAUUGAAUGGCCUUCUGUUGCUUAUGACCCAGUCACCCUUUCUCAUCAACAAUUUUCAGCUCUAAUGGUCAGUUGCUCCAUGUUGAGAGUUUGAGAUGACGUUGUUUUAUGCAGCUGUAUCUGUUGCUUAUAAAACCAAGCUUUUCCAGAACCUGAUCAUGCUAUUUGCAAUAAUAUCUUUCUGGCAUUUCAUGAAGCCAUCAUGCAGAGUUCAUUCAAUGUAAUGUUUUUUCGCUUAGAUGUCUAUUAUGUAACUGUAAUCUACCAGUAAUGAUUAGAAAGAUUCUUGGUAUCCACUUCUUUUUGUUUAAUUCCUCUGCACAAAAUUCGCAUACAUGUUCAUGGAUCUCCAUGCAACAUCAAGUAUACUGUGAAUAUCAUGCUCAAAUCAGGUCUAUGUAGACUUAAUGUUGACUUUCUCAGAGAUUUUUACAUAGACUUCUAGAUAUUUUAUUUAGUCUCCGUAGUAUGAUCUGGUAAGUUCCAAUGAAGUAUAUAACUAGAGGAAGAUAUGGCGCAAAAAGGAUAUAGCUUCAGCUUCAGGUAGAUUUGGGCAUCAAACACCUUGCAGACACGCUUCUCCCAUGUUGUCGUGCAUACAUUAGAAGAUUUUAUACAAUUUAGCCUUUUGAUGGUUGCACGCUGAAAAAUAGCAAUUUGGGGAUAGCACUCUGCUAAUAAUAGUUCUUGUAUAUCUCAAGAGCCAACUGUUUGGUUUAGUGCAUACAGCAGCUGCAGUCCAUGUACACUGCCACAUUAAAUUCCUCAGCUAUCUUAAAUAAGCAUGAGAGCAUUUGUGCCAAUUUUUGCUGCAAUUCGGAAUCUAUUAGUGUCAAACAAGAUGAGCUAAAAAAUCACAACUCAGCAUGAUUUGACAGUUUCAAUGGACCUAGCGCUCUGCAAGUUCUCCCCUUCUAGUGAACUCCACUUGAAACAGAGCAAUCACAGAAUCCACAAAUCUGAAAGAUAUUGCUCACCUAAGGUCAACCAUCCACACCUCACAAAAUAUGUGCAGUUUGAUUCUCGAGCUGUCUUACCAAUAAUUCAAAUGGUUCUUCAGACAUUGUGGCAGCCAAACCUAGAAGCAAGUUGUAUUGAUGCUCAUAAGUAUGGGCACGGGCAUAAAUGAUCUACGAAUUCAUGGAAAGACUAGAUUACAGCGAGUACACUAGCAGAAAAGAAGGAAGAGUUGCCAACAGUGUAGGAGGCAUUGCUUACUUUAUUUAGGACUGCACCAGGAUCCAUGCCAAAUCUCUUGGCUAUUGGUACAAUACGGUCAGGGCAACUGCAGGUGUACAAAGUCAAGAAAGUGCAUGUGCACUUACAUGGAUGUAAGCCGAGUAUGAAACAAAAGCAGCUUUUUCUAAGUUAAGAAAAUGACCGACAGAUUAUAUUGGGAUAUAAAGUUCCAUCUGUGUCGACAUAAGCUGCCUCGCCAUUCCCCCUCUCAUGUGAGUAAGCAGCUGGAAAAAUUGUUAGGAUCAUGGAAUCCAGAAACCAUAAAUAAAGAGUGAUGGAAAGAGGGGAAAUACUGUUGUAGGCUUCUAAUGGUUAUGACAAAAGUACGUUCUCCUAGCCUCUUCCCUACUUGGUUUGAACCACUACAUAUAGUGCAUUCCAAUGUACUGACUGUAGAUUCCAGAAAAUGACAGUGCCAUUCUCCCAGAAUCACCUGAUACAUACAUUCUGAUGCCAAGAUCAACCACAGCUGCAUUUCUUUAUGAGAAAUUCAAUCACCGGGUUACUAUUUGCGUUGCUCAUCUAGGAAACAUAAAAUGCAACAGAAGUUAAUGCCAGAAACCUAAUAUGCAAUUCAGACCAACCUGAGCAGAAACACACAGGGUAUGUGCAAGCUGAGUUUUCCCAGACCUGAAGUGACGUUAGCAGCAUUUCUGAGAAAACCAACUAACAAAAGGUCUUACUUAUCUCCUUAUGCUGACGCAUGUGGCCUCCAAGCUGGAUCGAAAGAAUUCGAUGAGAGGGCCACUGCCAUGAUGCAUGAGUUACUUAGCUUCACAAUGGAAAAGAGGUUGGUAACCGAUCACCUCAUCCACUUUCGACAAGAAUUCAUGAUGCCUCAGAAGCUGAUGAGACUCCUGUUGAAGCAUUUUGGCUUUUGCUAUGUCUCUCAGAGGGGGAAAAGGUUUAGUGUGUUCUUGACAGGAGCUUAUGAAGGUGCAGAGCUGAUUCAGAAAUCUCUGCUGAUUAUUUGGAAGGAAAAGGUCCUAAGCCUUAAUGGUUAUAGAGGGAGGAAGAAAAAGAUAGAAACCUUUACAGACUCAUCAGAUAUGGAAGAUAAUGAUUUCCAUGAGGGUAGCCCUGAGGAUGAAGGCGUCCCAAUGCAGCUUGACCAAGAUGAAGCCAUAAGUGAAUUGGAGGAUAUUGCAGGUGGAGAUAGUUACUUUAUGGAUAUUAGUGAAAUUGACCAAGCAUAAAAGCCUCAUGACUCAAUUUCAGGUCAAAUGUUCUUGUUCGAGCUGUCAAGAUAACUUGCUUUUCAGCCUUUUUCUUCACAAGUUUGAAGUUUUGAGUAUCUACUAUAUAGAUUUAAUUAGACAAACUCCCAUUUGCAUCUGUAAAUUAAACCAAUAGUAGGCCGAUCCAGUUUAUUCCUCAUUUGUCCUAAAUAUCACCUUUGAAAAUAGGAAGACUCGUUCUUUAGUUUGAAUGAUAGAUGGCUUUCCUCAGCUUUUGGCAGUUCUUUCGUAUACCUCAUUGAUAGCAUAAAUUGUGUUCAUGAUUUGUUACAUGGGCUAGCAUCUGCUGGACACCAUUGUGCAAGAAAGUUCUUUUACUUAUCAAAAGAAAAUUAUUGCGAACUUCAAUGGAGAUGAUGUUGGGUAAUUAGCUUUUAAAUAUUGAGAUUAGGUUUCUUCUUGGGCUCAUAAUAACCACGAUAUCCACAAAUGUUAGCCUCAAACCAAACUGCUAUUAUGUGUGGUUAAAAACAUAUUGUACCGGAUAAUUUCAUGUUUUUCUUCUUUAUGAAAAAACACCGUGGUUGAUAAAUUUCAUUUCAUCUGAAGUUAUUCGAAAUGACACUAAAUAACUUCUUUUGGUUACAUCUCUUUUCAAGCCUGAUGAAGUCCUAUGACCUUUCCAUACAUGCCAUGCUAGAUUAAGUUCCUUAGAGCAUAUAAGGCUGUAUUAUAUAAAUCCGAUUGGCUAAAUAUAAAUAGAAGCAGCAGAAAGGAUACUCAGGCCUUACCCUUACGAUAUAUUUUGCAAUAGAUACACGAAGGUGACAAUGUAGUUGACAAAUCUUUUGGGUUACCAUAGAGAAAGUAUCGCAUGUCAUGAAUGGUUUGUUGCCGAGCACAAGAAACUUAAGGACAAGCUAUGACGAGGGUGACAAAGUGUCCAUUGCAGAGAAAGGAAAUGAAGAAGUUCCUGGGAGCUCAUUAUAUGCCUCUAGCUGUCAACACGAUGACUAACAUCUAAUUGCAGAUUAACAAAAGAAAGCAUUUCGCCUGCCUUCCUGGUAGGAGAGACUUCUUUAGUCCUUCACAUCGGCGAUGCCUCCUGGUGUUAUCUAAAAAAUGUGUGUUUGUCAAGUCCAACAUAUAUGGAAUAUCUCGGUCUCAUCUUAUUGACAGAUGAGCUCUUGCUAAAUUUUCUGACAAAAUUGAGCGAUGGUCUUGAUAAAUGUGCAUCAUCUACGUAACAGUGGAGUUAAUAAUAAUAUGCCAGUCCUACUGAGGAAAAUUAUCAAUAUCCACUUCUUUUUGUUUAAUUCCUCUGCACAAAUUUGUAUUCGACGUGUUCAUGGAUCUCCAGGCAACAUCAACAUACUCUGAGUAUCCCUAUAUGGACGCAGUACCAACUUUCUCACAGAUUUUGAUAGAGACUUGUAGAUAUUUUACUUAGUAUCUGCAGUAUGAUGUGAUAAGUUUCGAUAAAUUAUAUAAUCAGAGGAAGAUUUGGCACAAAAAGGAUAUAGCUUCAGCUUCAGGUAGGUUUGGGGCAUCAAACACCUUGGAGACAUGCUGCUCCCUUCUGAGUUUCCUAAACAUCAACCUAAUCG